rfam:Triticum aestivum genome assembly, contig: Triticum_aestivum_CS42_TGACv1_scaffold_622103_7DS
UAUGUACCCCCUCCGUCCGAAAAUACUUGUCAUCAAAUUGGAUAAAAAUGGAUGUAUCUAUAACUAAUAUAUGUCUAGAUACGUCUUUUUUAUCCAUUUUGAUGACAAGUAUUUCCGGACGGAGGGAGUAUGUU